UACGUAGGGGGCAAGCGUUGUCCGGAAUCAUUGGGCGUAAAGAGCGUGUAGGCGGCCAGAUAAGUCCGCUGUGAAAUCUCGAGGCUCAACUUCGAGCUGUCGGUGGAAACUGUCUGGCUAGAGUCCGGAAGAGGAGAAUGGAAUUCCUGGUGUAGCGGUGAAAUGCGCAGAUAUCAGGAAGAACACCGAUGGCGAAGGCAGGUCUCUGGGCUGACACUGACGCUCAUGCACGAAAGCGUGGGGAGCAAACAGG
rnacentral:rRNA from 1 species